CGCUGAGCAGAAGGCUCUGGGCUGAGGGAGGCAGAGGAGAGGGGAAGGCAAGGCUGGAGGAGAGGCAGAGGCAGGGGAGAGACUCAGGCCGGGGGAUAAGAGCUGCAAGGCGGGGUGGUUAGAGGGGAAAGAUGGGUCAGGAGAGGCUGCAGGUGUGAGGGCGGGGUGGGCAAAUGAGAAAGGUGAGGGACAGGGGAGGUCAAGAUGAAGGUGCCAUAGCUAGAGGAAGAAUGCUAAGCUAACAUAGGGGGGUGAAGACAGGUGAGGAGAGAAGGACGAUGAGGUGAUAGUGGAGGAAAAUAGAAGACUGGCAGUAGUUACAACAGACAAAAAUAUGACUUUUCCUGAACAGGAACAGGGUAACAGGCAGAGGAAAAGACUAUUAACAAGCAAGGGAGAUUACUAAAGCCCCUUUAAAAGUAGAUCUAGUCUGAAACUGAGACAACAGAGACCAACAUAUAGCCAGAAAUGAGCCAGCAGUAGAUUCUCCUUUUCCCUCCAUGGAUGUACACACUGAUUUGGACGUCCAAUCAGACACCAGGACUGUGGGCCUUGUCAUAAUAACUACCAUGACAUCACUGCAAGGGAUCGCGGAAAGAAGACAGCGGAGCUCCACACAGGCAGAGAGCAGGGGGGACUCCGUGGAGCUGCUGCAACGCCGGCCACAGCGCACCGGCUGACGGAUCGAAACCGCGCGGACUACCGGGGGACUUUGUGUGUGUGGGGGGGGUUGGACAUGGAAGAGGGGUUGCCGCCCGGCUUUGGACGUUUUCAUAGCCGGUUUCGGGAGCUCUUUCUCGGGCUCAAGUUGAGGGUUUGUCUUUUGCCGAAGGGAAGCGAGAGGAAAUUACGGAGGAGGUUGAGCGAGAAAAAUGGCAUCUUGUUUUAAUUUGUGCCAAUCACGACGAGAGGAAGACAACUCCCCAAACUGGCAGGACCUUACAGGACGGUGAAAACAUAACCGAGAAACCAGGACAAGCUUGAACCGGAUGGCUCAAACUGGAACUGGUAGGU